GUAGCCUCGGGGGCAGCAGUGGGGAAUAUUGCACAAUGGGGGAAACCCUGAUGCAGCGACGCCGCGUGAGUGAAGAAGUAAUUCGUUACGUAAAGCUCUAUCAGCAGGGAAGAAACACUGACCUUACGGUCAGCAGACGGUACCUGAGUAAGAAGCCCCGGCUAACUACGUGCCAGCAGCCGCGGUAAUACGUAGGGGGCGAGCGUUAUCCGGAUUUACUGGGUGUAAAGGGAGCGUAGACGGCCAGACAAGUCAGAAGUGAAAACCAGCGGCUCAACUGCGGGAGGGCUUUUGAAACUGUUUGG
rnacentral:rRNA from 1 species